rnacentral:lncRNA from 1 species
UCCCUCUUGGCAUCCUCUCUCCUUUUGUGAUGGUGUGUGGAGCUCUUCCAAGGCCUUAGGAUCUGAUCACAAGGCUUCAUCUCCUUCUUUUUCGAAGAAAGAGUUCAUCCCUCUCUUCUACAGUGUUUGACGUGCACGUGAAGUAGAGGAUCCAUGCAUUUGGAUCUCACGAAGCAUAUUGAUUGAGGAGCUUCUUCAAUCUUGAUCC